rnacentral:rRNA from 1 species
UACGUAGGGGGCAAGCGUUGUCCGGAAUUAUUGGGCGUAAAGAGCGUGUAGGCGGCCCGGUAAGUCAGCUGUGAAAGUCGGGGGCUCAACCCUCGAAUGCCGGUGGAUACUGUCGGGCUAGAGUGCGGAAGAGGCGAGUGGAAUUCCUGGUGUAGCGGUGAAAUGCGCAGAUAUCAGGAGGAACACCGAUUGCGAAGGCGGCUCGCUGGGACGUAACUGACGCUGAGGCGCGAAAGCGUGGGGAGCGAACAGG